GGGUGCAAUCAUACCAGUGUUAAUGCACCAGAUCCCAUCAGAACUCCGCAGUUAAACACGCUUGGGCUAGAGUAGUACUGGGAUGGGUGACCUCCUGAGAAGUCCUAGUAUUGCACCCU
rnacentral:rRNA from 1 species